GAGGGUAUAGCUCAGUGGUAGAGUGCGUGCUUAACAUGCACAAAGUCCUAGGUUCAAUCCCCAGUACCUCCA
rnacentral:tRNA from 1 species